AAGGGAUUGGCUGUUCCCUGGCUCUCUUCAGAUGUUCUGACCAAUGGAGAAGGGAAGAAAGCAACCAGCAGUAAAGGUUGAGCCUGAUUGCAAAAGAGGGAGCCAGAGAUAAAGAGAAGGGGAGCAGUUUGGAAGCAGAGACUGCUGUAAAACAUGAGGCUAAACCAGGAGGCAAUCAGGUCCUUCCAAGCUCCUAUGACUGUCCGCACAUUCUCCAACAGCCAGGUUUACUUGUUUAGAAGCGGACAGUCUGAUUCGGAUGAAUCAUCUGAAGAAGAACUUGAUGUCAUGGAAUUACGAGCGAGAGGGAAGGAGCUACAGCAGAGGAACGCUUCCCGCGAGAAAGUUGGGGAUGUGGUGUUAUUGGAGCGAGAAGUCAGAAAAGAUGACAAUCUCAACAAGUUAGCCCUGCAGUAUGGAUGCAAAGUUGCAGAUAUCAAACGGAUCAAUAACUUUAUCCGGGAGCAAGACCUGUAUGCUCUGAAAUCCAUCAAAAUUCCAGUGAAAGUCAAUGGUGUACUAACAGAAACAAGUGAGGAAUUGCUGCGCCCUCAGAGUGCUGGUCUGUUACUGCCUGAAUCAAAAGACAGUGACAACAGCUUCGAAGAAGGCAAGAAAAUUGAUCAGUAUUUCAGAGGCAUUGACCAGAAAAUUGAACAAGCUGCACAGGUGCCGGUCUUGCCAAGCACAGACUAUUGCAUCGAAACUCCAAACUGUUCACCUCCACGACAGAAAGAAACCAGCAGUGGGGCAGAUUGUGGGAUACAGUGGUGGAAUGCAGUCUUUGUCAUGCUCCUUAUAGGAAUUGUUUUGCCCGUGUUUUAUAUUGUGUACUUUAAAACGCAGAAGCUGGAAGUGACCAGCAACGCCGGUUCCAAUAUGACGGGUAAUAACUCAUUGCACGGAUUAGCUGUGGGAGCACCGGUCCACCUCCAGCCGGAGGAAUACCCACCCAUGGCUCAUACCCCCAAAGGAACUUUCAUCCCAGAAGGGGGAUGAGUCCACCUGUCAAAAGUGGGCAAGAGACUUGGUGCUUUUGACAUAACGUUCUGGACAAUGACUGUGAGUUGCUGGAAUUGGACUCGCAAAAGAGGCCAAGGGAAACAAGGGCAAAAUGAGACUUGAACCAUGGCAGUUCAAGUACAGAUUUGCCAUGUUCACGUAGGAAGACAGUGGUGGUAUUUGGACAGCAGAAAAAGGUGUGCAAGACACACACAGCAGACGCACAUACCUCAGCAAGCAUCGAAGCAACCUCAAACACAGUCAACUGAGGAAAUGGGAUUGAGGAAAAGGGGUGUAUUCCCAUCACCCAUGCAGCCCUUUUGCUGUUCUGUGCAACUCCCAAUAAACUUGCCACUGCCCUCCUAUAUAUAGUUUGGCUUUUAUUGCCUUUUUCUGGACAGGUGGAAUCACAACCAUCUUGUGGAAGCAGACAUAGCCAGAUCCCCAAAACUACUUGGCAGAUAUGACUCAUUGAACACCUCUUCUUUGCCGCGUGAUGUGGGCUUUUCAAGAGGUGCAGCAAGAGCAAGACAGAGAAGAAUUUUAACAUGACGACUCCAUGUAAUCCGAGGACAAUAUUGGCUGCUGAAGGCAGUUUCCGAAGAAUCGCAACUUUCAUUUCAAUCUAGUCUUUAUGUUUGUGAAGCUUGCAACCCCAAUCAUAUGGGGAAAUACUUAGUAAACUCCCUGAAAUGAAAUGGCUAUGUGAACAAAAUUUCUCCAUGGUCUGAAUUUCUUCCAUAGCUCAUUGAUUUUUCUAGGACUAGCCAAUACAUACAUAUACAGUAUCUUGAGUGUCUUACCAGAUGUUCUCCAAAAUGUUUUGGACUAUAACUCUGAUCAUCCCUUACCACUGACAGAGGCAACAGCCUGACAGGAGCUGUCAUCCAAAACAUUUUGGU